AUUGAACGCUGGCGGCAGGCCUAACACAUGCAAGUCGAACGGUAACAGGAAGAAGCUUGCUUCUUUGCUGACGAGUGGCGGACGGGUGAGUAAUGUCUGGGAAACUGCCUGAUGGAGGGGGAUAACUACUGGAAGCGGUAGCUAAUACCGCAUAACGUCGCAAGACCAAAGAGGGGGACCUUCGGGCCUCUUGCCAUCGGAUGUGCCCAGAUGGGAUUAGCUAGUAGGUGGGGUAACGGCUCACCUAGGCGACGAUCCCUAGCUGGUCUGAGAGGAUGACCAGCCACACUGGAACUGAGACACGGUCCAGACUCCUACGGGAGGCAGCAGUGGGGAAUAUUGCACAAUGGGCGCAAGCCUGAUGCAGCCAUGCCGCGUGUAUGAAGAAGGCCUUCGGGUUGUAAAGUACUUUCAGCGGGGAGGAAGGGAGUAAAGUUAAUACCUUUGCUCAUUGACGUUACCCGCAGAAGAAGCAUCGGCUAACUCCGUG
rnacentral:rRNA from 1 species